UCCCUCCCUCUUAAAUGUUCUAAAGCCCUCAUUAUCGAUGGAUGUUUGAUUGAGUAUUCUCCCUUUGAUAACAAAAGAUCUUUAAGCUUUUGUUAAAAUCAAUCCACCCAUCUUUGAAAUUUUUACCACGAACUACGAGAUUUUGGUCCCUCAUUUUUAUGUUGGUACGUAGGCGUAAGACCGAAGGUCUUGUCAAACACAAAAUUAUAAAUUAUG
rnacentral:lncRNA from 1 species